AGAAUCAACGCUGGCGGCGUGCCUAACACAUGCAAGUCGCACGAGAAAGGGGCUUCGGCCCUGAGUAAAGUGGCGCACGGGUGAGUAACACGUGAAUUAUCUACCUCCGAGUGGGGAAUAACUGAGAGAAAUCUUAGCUAAUACCGCAUAACACUUACGAGUCAAAGCAGCAAUGCGCUUGGAGAGGAGUUCGCGGCCGAUUAGUUAGUUGGCGGGGUAAUGGCCCACCAAGACGAUGAUCGGUA
rnacentral:rRNA from 1 species